rnacentral:sRNA from 1 species
UGUAAAACGGUUGGUUCAUCGAGAGUAUG